CUUUUGUUUUCYGCAACAUUUUUAUACCAAAUGCCCUCCUCUCCCUGCGAAGUCCUUCAGCAACUUUUGGACUUUUAAACCCGGCUUUCUUAUUAGAGACACUUGGAAAGAACACACAGCACUGCUUGUCCCCAAAGGGCUGGCGAAGGCAGUGAAGAGAACCCACGGAGACAGGGAGGUCCCCCCUGCCGCCUGGUCCUUCCACUGUCCCCAGCCCCUCUCUGAACUGAAGACCACAAACACCUGUGCACACAUUCCUCCUGGGACUGGGCCGAGAUCAUGUUGCUGAAAUGUGACGCUCUGCUCCCUCCUGCCAGCCAUGUGGCCACCCUGGCACCAGUGCCCACACAGUCACCCACCCGUGAGCUGCGAACAUCCGUCACCRUGACUUGCAGCUGCUUCUCCCCUCGGCACCUCUGGAGUCCAGGGCAGAGCCACACCGAGGUGUCCAGGCAAGCCCCCAAAAGAGGCACGAGCCUGCCCCACGGACCUUCUCUUUAUAAGAUAAGUACUUACUUCAAGCUUCCGGCUUCCUCUUUGGUAAAAGGAAUUGUAGAAGCGUGCCAGGCCCGAGCAGGACAAACAGUGAAUAAUCGCUUAGAAGAGAAGCCUGUUGAAAUGAGACUUUGCUGGGGACAAGGUCGGCUGGCAGGCUUGGCCUAUAAAUCACUAUGCUCUCCUUGGCGUAUUGGCUCUGCAGAGAUGAACUUGGCUGGACUCGGACGUUUCAUAGCUCCUACGACUGGGCUCUGCACACAGUAGGCUUUUGGCCAUUGUUUGGUGGACCGAAUAACUGAGAAGGCAGCUGGGCAGGUGAAGGGGACAAAGCUGUGUCCCCCCUCAAAUUGGAGAUUGGAUAUGUGAAGCCCAGGUAGGAUACAAGAGAGCAGCCUGGCCUGAGUAACCUCAGAGCUCACGCCUACCCAGCUGGCCCUGAUGCCAGCAGAUGGGCCUAAGGGCAGGCCACACCUGCGGCUUCAGCACACUGGGGAGCAGGCCUGGACUCUGAGAUCCUUUUGGGAAGGGGCAUCCAUUCUACCAGAGGUGUGUGACAUGGAUAAUAGAAAAGAAAAACUACCUGGAGACUUCYAAUGCAUGAACGUCUGUGUGGGAGCAAUCUGUCCUUCCAUGUGCAGGCUCUGACUUGCUCCAACCGCCUCUCUCUUUCCUGGCAUCCUUGCCCAACUCCCAGAAAGAAGUUUGAUUGCUCAGAUGGGAUGGAGAUUAUGGUUACCCAGAGCCAGGAUACCUCCUCCAGCCCCUGAACACCCAGCCAUUGCUUGGGUCUGCCAGCUCUGAAGUAAGAGAAUAAAUAUACAUCCCAGUCGUCUUGACUUCCAUCAAAAGGAGAAAGGCAUUUUCAAAGGAAUUUAAUAAACAUCAARUUGCCCCAGUUUGCCCACUUCCUGUGAGUGGUGGCCAGGGGCCCCACAAUUCCCUCCCAAUCAUCCCAUGGAAGGGAGUCAGAGGGCACGUUCAAUAUGCUACUCUCCAGCUACAAGAAACCCCACCACACUGGGCUGGAGUGAGCCUAUAGCAGCAAGAAAUGGAAUGGAAAGUGGGUAGCCAGGCAGGGUGUCAGUGAAUAUGUCCCCCAAAUCCAAAAAUAAUAAAACCUUGCGAAACCAUUUCCUUGGGCAGUUGCAGUAGAGGAAACCUCAUGCUGCAGGAGAGAAAAGGGCUUUGGGGGAACCCUGGUGUGACCUCCUCCUAAGUCUAAUGCAAUUCUCACAAGCACUAAAGGGAACAUGCUUGGUCGCAGGGACUUCUGUAGGCAUUCAGCCCAUUCAGUCUGAUUUUCAGGAUAAUUUCUCUCUGAGAGUUCUGUAUGCUCUGUCACUUUGAGCAAUAGAAAGGGACAAAAUGAAAGAUCUAGAGUCUUGGGAGGCACAGAGCAGGCUCAC